rnacentral:rRNA from 1 species
GACGAACGCUGGCGGCGUGCUUAACACAUGCAAGUCGAACGGAAAGGCCCUGCUUUUGUCGUGUGCUCGAGUGGCGAACGGGUGAGUAACACGUGAGUAACCUGCCCUUGACUUUGGGAUAACUUCAGGAAACUGGGGCUAAUACCGGAUAGGAGCUCCUGCUGCAUGGUGGGGGUUGGAAAGUUUCGGCGGUUGGGGAUGGACUCGCGGCUUAUCAGCUUGUUGGUGGGGUAGUGGCUUACCAAGGCUUUGACGGGUAGCCGGCCUGAGAGGGUGACCGGCCACAUUGGGACUGAGAUACGGCCCAGACUCCUACGGGAGGCAGCAGUGGGGAGUAUUGCACAAUGGGCGGAAGCCUGAUGCAGCAACGCCGCGUGCGGGAUGACGGCCUUCGGGUUGUAAACCGCUUUCGCCUGUGACGAAGCGUGAGUGACGGUAAUGGGUAGAGAAGCACCGGCUAACUACGUG